rnacentral:rRNA from 1 species
UACGUAGGGGGCAAGCGUUGUCCGGAUUCAUUGGGCGUAAAGAGCGUGUAGGCGGCCAGGUAGGUCGGUUGUGAAAACUGGAGGCUCAACCUUCAGAGGUCGACCGAAACCAUCUGGCUAGAGUCCGGGAGAGGAGAGUGGAAUUCCUGGUGUAGCGGUGGAAUGCGCAGAUAUCAGGAGGAACACCAAUGGCGAAGGCAGCUCUCUGGUACGUGACUGACACUGAGACGCGAAAGCGUGGGGAGCGAACAGG